AGUGAACGCUGGCGGUAGGCCUAACACAUGUAAGUCGAACGGCAGCACAGUAAGAGCUUGCUCUUACGGGUGGCGAGUGGCGGACGGGUGAGGAAUACAUCGGAAUCUACUUUUUCGUGGGGGAUAACGUAGGGAAACUUACGCUAAUACCGCAUACGACCUACGGGUGAAAGCAGGGGAUCUUCGGACCUUGCGCGAUUGAAUGAGCCGAUGUCGGAUUAGCUAGUUGGCGGGGUAAAGGCCAACCAAGGCGACGAUCCGUAGCUGGUAUGAGAGGAUGAUCAGCCACACGGGAACUGAGACACGGUCCAGAGUCCUACGGGAGGCAACAGUGGGGAAUAUUGGACAAUGGGAGCAAGCCUGAUCCAGCCAUACCGCGUGGGUGAAGAAGGCCUUCGGGUUGUAAAGCCCUUUUGUUGGGAAAGAAAAGCAGCAGGUUAAUACCCCGCUGUUCUGACGGUACCCAAAGAAUAAGCACCGGCUAACUUCGUG
rnacentral:rRNA from 1 species